UGCCGGAAGAUGCCGAAUGAACAUUUAGAAGCCGGAGAUCGAUACUUUCUGUUCACCGUCAAACUCUCUCAUGGGGGCGAUCUAAGCGCAGAGCGGGAAAUGAUGGCAAUGAAAGGAGAAAGUAGCGUCCAGUACGGAAGGGAGCUUUUAUUCGCAAGAAGCAUCUGGGGCUCAUUGCCGCCUCACGACAAAAGGCAAGAGGGCAGCUUUUCAAUCAGCGUCAUCCAGUGUUCACUCGCUGCGUCGCCGCGCAGCAAGUUGUCGUCGUCUUUGGCAUUUGGAGGGCAAAAGGGAGCGUGUGAAUAACCGGGGCUCCUUUUCGCUGUCAUUUUGACAGGACUGCAUCAGCGUGGGUUGCGGCGAGCCCAACGUGACGGAGCAUCGCUCCUUGGUGCUUUACCACAGCAACAGCCCUCGAUGGAGCGAGGCCAUCAAACUUCCCGUCCCCGUCGACCGAUUCCGAGGCUGUCACCUCCGCUUCGAGUUCCGACAUUGUUCCACCAAAGACAAAGGAGACAAGAAACUCUUUGGUUUUUCCUUCACGCCGUUGAUGAGGGACGACGGGACCACGCUGUCUGAUCAGAGCCAUGAACUCUUCGUUUACAAGUGUGACGAGAACAGCACCUUGUGUAACCCCGGCCUCUAUCUGAGCCUGCCGUGUUGCAAAGACCACUUGAGUCCAGGACUUCCCAGCAUGGCCUUUCAACGCAGCACCAGGGAAACCUUCUGGAUUUCCACCCAGCUCUCUUCCACCAAGCUCACUC